UUCUCUGUCCAUAAAAACUGUAUCCGUUAUCUAUAGCCCCUCACUAUACCAAACGCCAAAGACUUACAUUUUUCUCUUCUUUUUUCAUGCCCUAAUUAUACUCGUCGUCCUAUAUAUAUAUAGACCCUUGGUCCAUUUCCCAUACCUCUUUAACUUUAAUCACAUAUAAAAUACUUAUAAUUUAACACUGCCCAUUACUUCAACCACCAAGAAGAAAAAACUAAACAUGAAGCUGUAUGUCAAAGAAUUUUCUCUUCAUGUUCUUCUUGUUUAUAUGAUAAUUAUAUUCUUGUUUUUCACGUACCAAUCUAAUGCUUCGAUACAAUCCUUUGUUUAUGGCGGAUGUUCACAGCAGAAAUACAAUCCUGGUACAGUUUACGAGUCAAACGUUAAUUCGCUUCUAACUUCACUAGUCAACUCAGCAUCUUACGCAAAUUUCAACAACUUCAAGAUUUCUCUACCUGGUUCGAGUCAAAACGACAUCGUUUACGGCCUCUUUCAGUGCCGAGGCGACUUGGGAAACUCCGACUGCCGGAAAUGCGUGGCUACGGCGGUGAGCAGAGUCGGGACGCUAUGCACCACCACGUGCGGCGGCGCGUUGCAGUUAGAUGGGUGUUUCGUGAAGUACGAUAAUGUUUCUUUUCUAGGUGUGGAAGACAAAGGUGUUGUCAUGCACAAAUGUGGACCGUCGAUUAUGGAUGAUAAUGAAAUGUUGACUCGGAACGACGCCGUAUUAACGUAUUUAGGAGCUGUGCCACAGGGUCAAUAUUUUAGAGUUGGCGGGUCGGGGAAAAUUCAGGCUGUGGCGCAGUGUACACAAGAUUUGAGUGUGAGUGAGUGUGAUGAUUGCUUAUCGGAGGCGAUCAGACAGCUGAAAAGUGAGUGUGGGUCCUCACCUUGGGGAGAUAUGUUUAUGACCAAGUGCUACGCGCGGUUCUCGGAGCGUGGAUUCACCUCUAAAAGCGGAGAUGAAGAUGUUGAAAAGACACUUGCAAUUACAAUUGGGCUCAUAGCUGGUGUUGCUGUCCUCAUUGUUUUCCUUUCGAUUCUAAAUAAGCUUUGUGAAAAGAAAGGUGGUAAAUAAAUAAUGAAACGGAGGGAGUAGUAUUUUAUUUGUCAUAUGUGCAAUGAGCCUAUUAUAAUUGUUCCUCUUUACUUUGACAUUUGCAGGUGGUAAAUAAAUAAUGAAACGGAGGGAGUAGUAUUUUAUUUGUCAUAUGUGCAAUGAGCCUAUUAUAAUUGUUCCUCUUUACUUUGACAUUUGCAGGUGGUAAAUAAAUAAGGCACAUCUUGUGCAUGUGGAUAGAACUUCUUCUCCCUUGCUUCUUACUUGGGUAAAUUGCUUUCUUUUGGUGAUCUUAGCUUUUGUAUAUUGGAUCUUACUUCUUACCCUAACCCAUGCUUUUUUCAAGAUUCCUUCCUUUAUCCUAAACACAAGACCCAAAAGGUUGGCUAAAAAGUGAUUGGAAGGAAACAGGUGCCUCAAAAGCAAUAAUAGCAGCUAUAGUGCAUGUAACAAUUGGCCUUUAUACUUUUGUUAAAGUGCUCAUAAUCACUUUCUGCUGAAGAUAAAGUCUUGCAUUAGGGCACUUUUUGUUUGUGAAGGAUAUGCAAUUUGUUAAGCCCUUUAUCAUGUAAGGAACACUUUAUAUUCAAUUAUAUAAAGUCAUAAUGCAGAAAGUUCAAUUGCUAUAUGUAAAGUUGUAUCUUUA